CAUCAAGAAGCUAUCCCAGCGUUAACCUUUUAAGUUAAAGACUGAGAAUAUUAUAUUCUCCUUGAUGA
ensembl:Mt_tRNA